ensembl:lncRNA
GCGAGUGAUGGGGCAGGCUUUUGUCCAGACUGAUUUAAUAAGCCUUCCACUAGAGUCAGCGCUUACAGUGUCUGGGGCUCUCCCACUCCUGCCCCCAUCUCUCUGUCUGUGCUUCUUGUUAAAGAGAGUUGAGGGCCACCCGAAAGUAGCUGUCUGGUGUGCUUAGUGGAGAGAACAGGGUACCAGGUGCUUGUAACAUUUCGGCUCUGAUUUCUGAUUCUGCCACUUACUAGUUGUGUGACCUUAGACAUAAGCGAAUGACUACUCACUCCAGUAUUCCUGCCUGGAAAAUUCCAUGGGCAGAGGAGCUGGCAGGCUAUAGUCCAUGAGGUCACAAAGAAUCAGACAUGAUUAAGCGACUAACACUUUUUUCUUUCCAGAAAUAUUCCUUCAUCCUUUAAACCAAUGUUAUAUUCAUCUGUAAAAUGGGGAAAGUAUUCCAAUCUCCCCAAGUUACAAGGCUUAUUAAGGUCAACAGAAGUAAUAUAGUAGAGUAAAAGCCUGAGGUGGAGGUGGACAGGGGAGACUGACCAGCACCCACAAGGCCCUUGAAGAAAGACGUGCAUGUCCUAGGCUGAGAGAGUAAAGGGGCAAGUGGUAUUAGAGGAAACCGGUGGUCAGUGCAGAAUAUGAAAAUCAGUGUAGAUGACAUUAAGAAUUUUCAUCUUUGAAAGCUGUGAGAAGAUCUUAAACGAUUUCAAAGAUGGUAAGGAUGCUUGAGAUGAUCAGGUUUGUGUUUUGAGAUGAUUUAUUCCACAUGUCCCUCAUAUUGUAGUAUCUCUCAAAUCUGUGGCCCAAGCCUUUUCCUUGAGUUUUCCCAGCUGUAUAUUCAAAUACCUGUUAAAUAAUUCUCAUAGUUGUUCCCCCAGGCACUCACAGCCAGCAUGUCCCAAAGUGAAUUCAUUACCAUCAUCCCUAAAUCUGAUUCUCCUCCUCCACCGCUUCACCUUCUUUUGUCUCUUUAUAAAUGGGACCUGUGGCAGAAACUUCCAGUUGCUUCUGAAUGGUCAUUCACCUUUCUUAGUAGUAGAAUCUUGGGCAAUCUUCACAGGAAAUCACUAUAUUGCUACAUUUCCCAGCCUCACCACAGCUAGCUGUGGCUACAUGACUGAGUUCCAGCUGAAGAGAUAUAAACUGGAAGUUUUGUUACCAGGAAAUCUCUUUAAGGGGGCUCCAUUUUGUACUUCCACUUGUUCUCCUUCUUAUACUCUGGAAUGCAAGUGUGAUGGCUGGAAUUCCUGCAGCCAUUUGGAACCCUGAGGUUAGAACAAAUGGGACGGGAUGGUAGAACAGAUAGAAAGAACCAGGUUAUCUAAGUAUUGAAGAGCUUCCGAAUAGCCCUGGACUGCCUAUCUCCAGAUGUCUUUCACCUCAGAGAUAUUCUUCUUUCUUGUAUAAGUCACGGUAGUUUUGGAUUUUCUGCUACUCACAGCUAUGCCUUAUUUUAAGUGACAGCCGGAAUCCUGGAAUUCCUUCCCUACAUCUAAUCUUAUACCAAGCCCUGUCUCCCAGCAAUCCUGGCUCCAAUCCAUCCCCGUUUAUUAUUCUCUUUUGAACCAUGUCAUUUCUUACCAGUAUGACAGCAAUAGCUUCUUCAUUGACUCCCCGCUUUCAACCUCUCCCCACUGANNNNNNNNNNNNNNNNNNNNNNNNNNNNNNNNNNNNNNNNNNNNNNNNNNNNNNNNNNNNNNNNNNNNNNNNNNNNNNNNNNNNNNNNNNNNNNNNNNNUGACUCCCCACUUUCACCCUCUCCCCACUGAUAGCCAUGCUCAAAGAAUUUCCGUGUUUAAAUUAAGUAAUCUUUCUAAAACUCAAAAUGGUCCUGAUACUUCUGAGAAAUCAUGGAAUCGCGGACACUUAAAAUACAGAGUUUAAGAGGCCCUCAGAGGUCAUUUAAUCUGGAUUUUUAAGGUUUAUUUGGCUUGGUGAAAAACGAAAGGCAAAUGAAGUAGUUUUCCAUGGUUUUUCCAGUGGUCAUGUAUGGAUGUGAGAGUUGGACUAUAAAG